rnacentral:rRNA from 1 species
GACGAACCGUGCGAACGUUGUUCGGAAUCACUGGGCUUAAAGGGCGCGUAGGCGGGCUGCCGAGUCCGGGGUGAAAUCCUCCCGCUCAACGGGAGAACGGCCCCGGGUACUGGCGGCCUCGAGGCGGGUAGGGGCGUGCGGGAACGACUGGGUGGAGCGGUGGAAAUGCGUUGAUAUCCAGUGGAACUCCGGUGGCGAAGGCGGCACGCUGGACCCGUC